rnacentral:sRNA from 1 species
UGCAUCUGAAGCCUGACGAGGAUGAGAACCUCCGGGGGCAAGAGGUUCGACUCGAGCGCAGCGAGAGAACGUUGCGUCAGCAACGGCCC